rnacentral:misc_RNA from 1 species
GAUGAAGAACGUAGCGAAAUGCGAUAAUUAAUGUGAAUUGCAGAAUUUAGUGAAUCAUCGAAUCUUUGAACGCACAUUGCGCCCGCUGGUAUUCCGGCGGGCAUGCCUGUUCGAGCGUCAUUUCAACCCUCAAGCCCCCGGGUUUGGUGUUGGGGAUCGGCUCUGCCCUUCUGGGCGGUGCCGCCCCCGAAAUACAUUGGCGGUCUCGCUGCAGCCUCCAUUGCGUAGUAGCUAACACCUCGCAACUGGAACGCGGCGCGGCCAUGCCGUAAAACCCCAACUUCUGAAUGUUGACCUCGGAUCAGGUAGGAAUACCCGCUGAACUUAAGCAUAUCAAUAAGCGGAGGA